GACGAACGCUGGCGGCGUGCUUAACACAUGCAAGUCGAGCGAUGAAGUUCCUUCGGGAAUGGAUUAGCGGCGGACGGGUGAGUAACACGUGGGUAACCUGCCUCAUAGAGGGGAAUAGCCUUUCGAAAGGAAGAUUAAUACCGCAUAAGAUUGUAGCUUCGCAUGAAGCAGCAAUUAAAGGAGUAAUCCGCUAUGAGAUGGACCCGCGUCGCAUUAGCUAGUUGGUGAGGUAACGGCUCACCAAGGCGACGAUGCGUAGCCGACCUGAGAGGGUGAUCGGCCACAUUGGGACUGAGACACGGCCCAGACUCCUACGGGAGGCAGCAGUGGGGAAUAUUGCACAAUGGGGGAAGCCCUGAUGCAGCAACGCCGCGUGAGUGAUGACGGUCUUCGGAUUGUAAAACUCUGUCUUCAGGGACGAUAAUGACGGUACCUGAGGAGGAAGCCACGGCUAACUACGUGCCAGCAGCCGCCGUAA
rnacentral:rRNA from 1 species